rnacentral:rRNA from 1 species
UAGUAUCCAUCGUUUACGGCGUGGACUACCAGGGUAUCUAAUCCUGUUCGCUACCCACGCUUUCGUCCCUCAGCGUCAGUGUAUUGUUAGUGAUCUGCCUUCGCAAUCGGUAUUCUAUGUAAUAUCUAUGCAUUUCACCGCUACACUACAUAUUCUAACCACUUCACAAUAACUCAAGUCUUUCAGUAUCAAAGGCAGUUCUAUCGUUGAGCGAUAGGAUUUCACCUCUGACUUAAAAGACCGCCUGCGGACCCUUUAAACCCAAUGAUUCCGGAUAACGCUUGGAUCCUCCGUAUUACCGCGGCUGCUGGCACGGAGUUAGCCGAUCCUUAUUCUUACAGUACCGUCAGCUUGGUACACGUACCAAGGUUUCUUCCUGUAUAAAAGCAGUUUACAACCCAUAGGGCAGUCCUCCUGCACGCGGCAUGGCUGGAUCAGAGUUGCCUCCAUUGUCCAAUAUUCCUCACUGCUGCCUCCCGUAGGAGUCUGGUCCGUGUCUCAGUACCAGUGUGGGGGAUCUCCCUCUCAGGACCCCUACCUAUCGCGGUCUUGGUGAGCCGUUACCUCACCAACUAGCUAAUCAAGUGCGGGCUCAUCUUUUGGCAUUAAAACUUUCCCUGUAAAGGCUUAUCCGGUAUUAGCACAAGUUUCCUCGUGUUAUUCCGAACCAAAAGGCAGAUUCCCACAUUAUACUCACCCGUUUGCCACUCAGUAUUGCUACUGCGUUCGACUUGCAUGUGUUAGGCGUGCCGCCAGCGUACGUUCUGAGCCAGGAUCAAACUCU